GAUGAACGCUGGCGGCGUGCCUAAUACAUGCAAGUCGAGCGAACGGACGAGAAGCUUGCUUCUCUGAUGUUAGCGGCGGACGGGUGAGUAACACGUGGAUAACCUACCUAUAAGACUGGGAUAACUUCGGGAAACCGGAGCUAAUACCGGAUAAUAUUUUGAACCGCAUGGUUCAAAAGUGAAAGACGGUCUUGCUGUCACUUAUAGAUGGAUCCGCGCUGCAUUAGCUAGUUGGUAAGGUAACGGCUUACCAAGGCAACGAUGCAUAGCCGACCUGAGAGGGGGAUCGGCCCACCUGGAACUGAACCACGGGCCAGCCUCCUACGGGGGGAAGCAGGAGGGAAUCUUCCGCAAGGGGGGAAAGCCUGACGGAGCAACGCCGGGGGAGUGAUGAAGGUCUUCGGAUCGUAAAACUCUGUUUUUGGGGAAGAACAUAUGUGUAAGUAACUGGGCACAUUUUGACGGUACCUAAACAAAAAGCCACGGCAAACUACGU
rnacentral:rRNA from 1 species